rnacentral:rRNA from 1 species
UACGAAGGGGGCUAGCGUUGUUCGGAAUUACUGGGCGUAAAGCGCACGUAGGCGGGUUUGUAAGUAGGGGGUGAAAUCCCAGAGCUCAACUCUGGAACUGCCUUCUAAACUGCAAGCCUGGACGUCAGGAGAGGCGAGUGGAAUACCGAGUGUAGAGGUGAAAUUCGUAGAUAUUCGGUGGAACACCAGUGGCGAAGGCGACUCGCUGGACUGAUACUGACGCUGAGGAGCGAAAGCGCGGGGAGCAAACAGG